rnacentral:rRNA from 2 species
GCUAUACAUGCAAGUCGAGCGAACGAUUAGAAGCUUGCUUCUAUGACGUUAGCGGCGGACGGGUGAGUAACACGUGGGCAACCUGCCUGUAAGACUGGGAUAACUCCGGGAAACCGGAGCUAAUACCGGAUAACAUUUUCUCUUGCAUAAGAGAAAAUUGAAAGAUGGUUUCGGCUAUCACUUACAGAUGGGCCCGCGGUGCAUUAGCUAGUUGGUGAGGUAACGGCUCACCAAGGCAACGAUGCAUAGCCGACCUGAGAGGGUGAUCGGCCACACUGGGACUGAGACACGGCCCAGACUCCUACGGGAGGCAGCAGUAGGGAAUCUUCCGCAAUGGACGAAAGUCUGACGGAGCAACGCCGCGUGAGUGAUGAAGGCUUUCGGGUCGUAAAACUCUGUUGUUAGGGAAGAACAAGUACAAGAGUAACUGCUUGUACCUUGACGGUACCUAACCAGAAAGCCACGGCUAACUACGUGCCAGCAGCCGCGGUAAUACGUAGGUGGCAAGCGUUAUCCGGAAUUAUUGGGCGUAAAGCGCGCGCAGGCGGUUUCUUAAGUCUGAUGUGAAAGCCCACGGCUCAACCGUGGAGGGUCAUUGGAAACUGGGGAACUUGAGUGCAGAAGAGAAAAGCGGAAUUCCACGUGUAGCGGUGAAAUGCGUAGAGAUGUGGAGGAACACCAGUGGCGAAGGCGGCUUUUUGGUCUGUAACUGACGCUGANGCGCGAAAGCGUGGGGAGCAAACAGAUUAGAUACCCUGGUAGUCCACGCCGUAAACGAUGAGUGCUAAGUGUUAGAGGGGUUUCCGCCCUUUAGUGCUGCACUAACCAUUAAGCACUCCGGCUGGGGGAGUACGGGCAGCNAGAGUGGAAUAUCAAGAAUUGAGGGCCCGACCGGUGUAACAUUGUUUUAUACCAAAAUUAU